GCCCUCGUAGCUCAGGGGAUAGAGCACCGGCCUCCGGAGCCGGGUGCGCAGGUUCGAAUCCUGCCGGGGGCA
rnacentral:tRNA from 4 species